rnacentral:tRNA from 1 species
GGGGCUGUAGCGCAGCUGGGAGCGCGUCUCAAUGGCAUUGAGAAGGUCAGGGGUUCGAAUCCCCUCAGCUCCACCA